AGCUACCGUAUCUCGGUACUCGAAACUCCGAUUCUUGAUCCGCUUGUUUUGUUAUAAACCUCACUUGUAACACUAAUUGAGCUACAAAUUUCAGAGGCCGGUUUGCAACGUGUGAAUCGUGCCGAAUUUCCAAAGUUGGCCGAAAUCCAACUUAAUUCUGCCAUGAAAACCAACCCUGCGUCUUCAAACUCAUUUUUGAACACUUUUCACUUCGAUUCAUAGAAAAGUGUCUUCUAGGGACUUAUAGUACUUUCUAAGAGGUUUCCAACGGUAUAAAGUUUUCCAAUUCUUGACUUAUACCGAGCGAGUUAUGAUUUUUCAAAAAUUCAUAAUAAAACUGAAAAUUUUCCAAUUUCAAAGAAAUAGAGUUUUUCAAGAACUCUUUAUUCUUUUGAUAUUCUUAAACGUUUUGCCCUCG
rnacentral:lncRNA from 1 species